UACGUAGGGGGCAAGCGUUGUCCGGAUUUAUUGGGCGUAAAGAGCGUGUAGGCGGCCAGGCAGGUCCGUUGUGAAAACUCGAGGCUCAACCUCGAGACGUCGGUGGAAACCGUAUGGCUAGAGUCCGGAAGAGGAGAGUGGAAUCCCUGGUGUAGCGGUGAAAUGCGCAGAUAUCAGGAAGAACACCCGUGGCGAAGGCGGCUCUCUGGGACGGUACUGACGCUGAGACGCGAAAGCGUGGGGAGCGAACAGG
rnacentral:rRNA from 1 species